rnacentral:rRNA from 1 species
GUGUCAGCAGCCGCGGUAAUACGUAGGAUCCAAGCGUUGUCCGGAUUUACUGGGUGUAAAGGGUGCGUAGGCUGACAUGUGCGUCAGAGGUUAAAUGUCACGGCUCAACCGUGAACCUGCCUUUGAUACGGCAUGUCUGGAGUGUGAGAGAGGAUGGUAGAAUUCCUGGUGUAGCGGUGAAAUGCGUAGAUAUCAGGAGGAAUACCAGUGGCGAAGGCGGCCAUCUGGCUCACAACUGACGCUGAGGCACGAAAGCGUGGGGAGCAAACAGGAUUAGAAACCCGUGUAGUCC